GGUCCGGUAGCGGAUGGUCCGCACCUGCAUACAAUUAACAGCCAUGAUUAUUCUGCAGGACCCGCUCGUUCGACUCCAGCCCGGGCCA